UACGUAGGGGGCAAGCGUUGUCCGGAUUCAUUGGGCGUAAAGAGCGUGUAGGCGGCCAGGUAGGUCGGUUGUGAAAACUGGAGGCUCAACCUUCAGAGGUCGACCGAAACCAUCUGGCUAGAGUCCGGGAGAGGAGAGUGGAAUUCCUGGUGUAGCGGUGAAAUGCGCAGAUAUCAGGAGGAACACCGGUGGCGAAGGCGGUUCUCUGGGCCUUACCUGACGCUGAGGAGCGAAAGCGUGGGGAGCGAACAGG
rnacentral:rRNA from 1 species